rnacentral:rRNA from 1 species
GAUGAACGCUGGCGGUAUGCCUAACACAUGCAAGUCGUACGAGAGUUUUUAACUCUAGUGGCGGACGGGUGAGUAACACGUGAGAAUUUGCCUUUAGGAGGGGGAUAACAAUUGGAAACGAAUGCUAAUACCCCAUAUGCUUUUGAGUGAAAUGGAUUUUAUCCGCCUAGAGAGAAGCUCGCGGCUGAUUAGCUUGUUGGUAAGGUAAGAGCUUACCAAGGCGACGAUCAGUAUCUGGUUUGAGAGGACGAUCAGACACACUGGAACUGAGACACGGUCCAGACUCCUACGGGAGGCAGCAGUAGGGAAUUUUCCACAAUGGACGAAAGUCUGAUGGAGCAACGCCGCGUGCAGGAUGAAUGCCUUCGGGUUGUAACUAGCUUUAUUCUGUGACGACUAAUGACGGUAGCAGAUGAAUAAGG